GUUGUGGUUGUGAAUAUUUCGGCACAGGGCAAGUUGCAAGGACAUCAAAGAAACAUACAAAAGGAGUUGCUUUUCCUUUGUUUGACGAAAAGAUCCACUUUGUUUUCUCUCGAACAUACCCUUGAUGAUUCAUGGGCCCAGGAAGAGGAAGCUGUUGGUUUUUCCCCAACAUUGAAAGUGUCAUGGUGCACACACCCCUUUCAGACCCAUCCACUUCUAGCUGAAAUAGACACAGAUACACCUUUGCUGUUCAGAGACUCAACCCUCUUCAACAUGAACAAAGCUCUGGUCUGUGCUGUCUUCAUCUUGCUGGUGCUUUCUGUGUUCACAGAGGCCAUGGAGGGGAAUCCUAUGAACCCAAAUGGCAAGGUGAAUGCAACCAGCGCCCCAAACAAGGCUUCCGGGGCAAGCACCUUGACACUUCCGUUUUUGCUGCAGUUGGGGCUGAUGGUUGCACCUGCCUUACUUCAAACUCUGAUGUAGCACUUGCUACGCUCUGCUUCCACAAGACUCUGCAGAACUUCUGCAAGAACGGGGGCAACAACAUAGCAAUAGCUUCAAUGACUAGGCCUACUAUAUUUACCGGUACUGUAGACCCUAGCUGACCCGUUUCCAUGAUUGAACACCGUGAAAUUCUUAACCCAAAUGAUCUUGUAACAACCAUACAGAUACAGAAAUAAAUUUGUGUAUCUACA